ensembl:lncRNA
UAUGGGGCAGCGCUAUGGGGCAGCGCUAUGGGUCUGUAUGGGGCAGCGCUAUGGGGCAGCGCUAUGGGGCAGCGCUAUAGGUCUCUUGCUAUGGGGCAGCGCUAUGGGGCAGCGCUAUGGGUCUCUGUCUAUGGGGCAGCGCUAUGGGGCAGCGCUAUGGGUCUGUAUGGGACAGCUAUGGGGCAGCGCUAUGGGUCUCUGUCUAUGGGGCAGCGCUAUGGGUGUCUAUGGGGCAGCGCUAUGGGGCAGCACUAUGGGUCUGGCAGCGCUAUGGGGCAGCGCUAUGGGUCUGUAUGGGACAGCUAUGGGGCAGCGCUAUGGGGUAGCACUAUGGGGCAGCGCUAUGGGGCAGCGCUAUGGGUCUGUAUGGGGCAGCGCUAUGGGGCAGCGCUAUGGGGCAGCGCUAUAGGGCAGCGCUAUGGGUCUCUGUCUAUGGGGCAGCGCUAUGGGGCAGCGCUAUGGGUCUGUAUGGGACAGCUAUGGGGCAGCGCUAUGGGUCUGGCAGCGCUAUGGGUGUCUAUGGGGCAGCGCUAUCUAUGGGGCAGCACUAUGGGUCUGGCAGCGCUAUGGGGCAGCGCUAUGGGUCUGUAUGGGACAGCUAUGGGGCAGCGCUAUGGGGCAGCGCUAUGGGUCUCUGUCUAUGGGGCAGCGCUAUGGGGCAGCGCUAUGGGUCUGGCAGUGCUAUGGGGCAGCGCUAUAGGGCAGCGCUAUGGGUCUCUGUCUAUGGGGCAGCGCUAUGGGGCAGCGCUAUGGGUCUGUAUGGGACAGCUAUGGGGCAGCGCUAUGGGGCAGCGCUAUGGGUCUCUGUCUAUGGGGCAGCGCUAUGGGGUGUCUAUGGGGCAGCGCUAUGGGGCAGCGCUAUGGGUCUGUAUGGGACAGCUAUGGGGCAGCGCUAUGGGGCAGCCCCACAUCUCACUCAGAACGGCCACUCCCCGACCAUCAGCCGCAGCCGCAGCGCCGCGAUUGGCCGCGCGUUGGGACCGGAAGUAGGCGUGGCCAAACGAAGCCCCGCCCCCGGAAGCAGCUCCACCUCCAGCUCCACCUCCCGCGGGCCCGCCAUUGGCCGCCGCAGUUCCAGCACAGCGCUCUCAUUGGACACGUCCUGAGGAAGGGGCGGGCUCAGGGCGGGAGGCCACGCCCCCCUCCCGACCCACCCCGGGAUCCCCCCAUAGCG